rnacentral:rRNA from 1 species
UACGUAGGGAGCAAGCGUUGUCCGGAAUCACUGGGCGUAAAGCGCACGUAGGCGGAUCUUUAAGUCAGGGGUGAAAUCCCAAGGCUCAACCUUGGAACUGCCUUUGAUACUGGGGAUCUCGAGUCCGGAAGAGGUGAGUGGAACUGCGAGUGUAGAGGUGAAAUUCGUAGAUAUUCGCAAGAACACCAGUGGCGAAGGCGGGUAGCUGGGCCAACACUGACGCUGAUGCGCGAAAGCUAGGGGAGCAAACGGG